rnacentral:rRNA from 1 species
AUUGAACGCUGGCGGCAGGCCUAACACAUGCAGGUCGAGCGGUAGAGAGGUGCUUGCAUCUCUUGAGAGCGGCGGACGGGUGAGUAAUGCCUAGGAAUCUGCCUAGUGGUGGGGGAUAACGUUCGGAAACGGACGCUAAUACCGCAUACGUCCUACGGGAGAAAGCGGGGGAUCUUCGGACCUCGCGCCAUUAGAUGAGCCUAGGUCGGAUUAGCUAGUUGGUGAGGUAAUGGCUCACCAAGGCGACGAUCCGUAACUGGUCUGAGAGGAUGAUCAGUCACACUGGAACUGAGACACGGUCCAGACUCCUACGGGAGGCAGCAGUGGGGAAUAUUGGACAAUGGGCGAAAGCCUGAUCCAGCCAUGCCGCGUGUGUGAAGAAGGUCUUCGGAUUGUAAAGCACUUUAAGUUGGGAGGAAGGGUAGUAACCUAAUACGUUGCUACUUUGACGUUACCGACAGAAUAAGACACCGGCUAACUUCGUGCCAGCAGCC